AUUGAACGCUGGCGGAAUGCUUUACACAUGCAAGUCGAACGGCAGCACGGACUUCGGUCUGGUGGCGAGUGGCGAACGGGUGAGUAAUGUAUCGGAACGUGCCCAGUCGUGGGGGAUAACGUAGUGAAAAUUACGCUAAUACCGCAUACGAUCUAUGGAUGAAAGCGGGGGAUCGCAAGACCUCGCGCGAUUGGAGCGGCCGAUAUCAGAUUAGGUAGUUGGUGGGGUAAAGGCCCACCAAGCCAACGAUCUGUAGCUGGUCUGAGAGGACGACCAGACACACUGGAACGUAGACACGGUCCAGACUCCUACGGGAGGCAGCAGUGGGGAAUCUUGGACAAUGGGCGAAAGCCUGAUCCAGCCAUUCCGCGUGCAGGAUGAAGGCCCUCGGGUUGUAAACUGCUUUUGUACAGAACGAAAAGGUUUCUACUAAUACUAGGAGCUCAUGACGGUACUGUAAGAAUAAGCACCGGCUAACUACGUGCCAGCAGCCGCAGUAA
rnacentral:rRNA from 1 species